rnacentral:rRNA from 2 species
GGAUCAGGUAGGGAUACCCGCUGAACUUAAGCAUAUCAAUAGCCGGGAAGGAA